rnacentral:rRNA from 1 species
CCUACGGGAGGCAGCAGUAAGGAAUAUUGGUCAAUGGAGGCAACUCUGAACCAGCCAUGCCGCGUGCAGGAUGACGGCCCUAUGGGUUGUAAACUGCUUUUAUACAAGAGAAAACCCUGGUACGUGUACCAGGUUGAUAGUAUUGUAAGAAUAAGCAUCGGCUAACUUCGUGCCAGCAGCCGCGGUAAGACGAAGGAUGCAAGCGUUAUCCGGAUUCAUUGGGUUUAAAGGGUGCGUAGGCGGACUGAUAAGUCAGUGGUGAAAUCUCUUUGCUUAACAAAGAAACUGCCAUUGAUACUGUCGGUCUAGAGUAUAGAUGACGUUGGCGGAAUAUGACAUGUAGUGGUGAAAUACUUAGAUAUGUCAUAGAACACCGAUUGCGAAGGCAGCUAACGAAACUAUAACUGACGCUGAGGCACGAAAGUGCGGGGAUCAAACAGGAUUAGAUACCCUGGUAGUCCGCACCGUAAACGAUGAUUACUCGUUGUUGGCGAUAUGACAGUCAGCGACCAAGCGAAAGCGAUAAGUAAUCCACCUGGGGAGUACGCCGGCAACGGCGAAACUCAAAGGAAUUGACGGCGNGAGAGNGCGAGGACGACGACGAGGGGAGGAGG